rnacentral:tRNA from 1 species
AGAAAUGUAGCGCAGAGGUUAGCAUGUCUGCCUCUGACGCAGAACGCCUGGGUUCGAAUCCUGGCGAAACCU